UUAACACAUGCAAGUCGAGGGGUAGCAGGGUAGCAAUACCGCUGACGACCGGCGCACGGGUGAGUAACACGUAUCCAACCUUCCCAUAACUCGGGGAUAGCCUUUCGAAAGAAAGAUUAAUACCCGAUAGUACUUAAGAAAGGCAUCUUUUCUAAGUUAAAGAUUUAUUGGUUAUGGAUGGGGAUGCGUUCCAUUAGAUAGUUGGUGAGGUAACGGCUCACCAAGUCUUCGAUGGAUAGGGGUUCUGAGAGGAAGGUCCCCCACAUUGGUACUGAGACACGGACCAAACUCCUACGGGGGGCAGCAGUGAGGAAUAUUGGUCAAUGGGCGAGAGCCUGA
rnacentral:rRNA from 1 species